rnacentral:rRNA from 1 species
GUCCACGCCGUAAACGGUGGGCGCUAGGUGUGGGUUCCUUCCACGGGAUCUGUGCCGUAGCUAACGCAUUAAGCGCCCCGCCUGGGGAGUACGGCCGCAAGGCUAAAACUCAAAGGAAUUGACGGGGGCCCGCACAAGCGGCGGAGCAUGUGGAUUAAUUCGAUGCAACGCGAAGAACCUUACCUGGGUUUGACAUAUACCGGAAAGCCGUAGAGAUACGGCCCCCUUGUGGUCGGUAUACAGGUGGUGCAUGGCUGUCGU